UUAGGGUUGGAAAAUCCGCCCUGCAUAAGACGAAGGCGUGAUGCGGAGCGAAAUGAAGUAGUGAAGCUGCGGCCCCUUCCUGUCGAGAAAAGCCGCUAUCGUGUAGCAAGGGCCCGUACCGUAAACCGACACAGGUGGAUGAGGAGAGGAUCCUAAGGCCGGCGGGAGAAGUGUUGUUAAGGAACUCGGCAAAAUGACUCCGUAACUUCGGGAGAAGGAGUGCUGCGCAAGCAGCCGCAGAGAAAUGGCCCAAGCAACUGUUUAGCAAAAACACAGGUCUAUGCGAAACCGGAAGGUGAGGUAUAUGGGCUGACGCCUGCCCGGUGCUGGAAGGUUAAGGGGAGAGCUUAGCAUAAGCGAAGGUUUGAACUUAAGCCCCAGUAAACGGCGGCCGUAACAAUAACGGUCCUAAGGUAGCGAAAUUCCUUGUCGGGUAAGUUCCGACCCGCACGAAAGGCGUAAUGAUUUGGGCACUGUCUCAACAACACACCCGGUGAAAUUGAAAUACCAGUGAAGAUGCUGGUUACCCGCGCCAGGACGGAAAGACCCCAUGGAGCUUUACUCCAGCCUGAUACUGGGAUUCGGUAUUGCAUGCACAGGAUAGGUGGGAGGCUAAGAACUUAUGGCGCCAGCCGUAAGGGAGCCGAUGUUGGGAUACCACCCCUGCAGUACUGGGUUUCUAACCUGCGCCCGUGACCCGGGCGGGGGACAAUGUCAGGCGGGGAGUUUGACUGGGGCGGUCGCCUCCGAAAGGGUAUCGGAGGCGCUCAAAGGUCUCCUCAGGAUGGUUGGAAACCAUCCAGAGAGUGCAAAGGCAGAAGGAGGCUUGACUGCGACACCGACGGGUGGAGCAGGUACGAAAGUAGGACUUAGUGAUCCGGUGGCAUAAAGUGGGAUUGCCAUCGCUCAACGGAUAAAAGCUACCCUGGGAUAACAGGCUUAUCACUCCCAAGAGUUCACAUCGACGGAGUGGUUUGGCACCUGAUGUCGGCUCAUCGCAUCCUGGAGCUGGAGCAGGUUCCAAGGGUUGGGCUGUUCGCCCAUUAAAGCGGUACGCGAGCUGGGUUCAGAACGUCGUGAGACAGUUCGGUCCCUAUCCGGCGCGGGCGCAGGAUAUCUGAGAGGAGCUGUCCUUAGUACGAGAGGACCGGGAUGGACCGUCCGCUGGUGGACCGGUUGUCAUGCCAAUGGCACGGCCGGGUAGCCAAGACGGGAAGGGAUAAACGCUGAAGGCAUCUAAGCGUGAAGCCCCCCUCUAGAUGAGAUAUCCAUACUCGAAAGAGUGAGAGACCCCUUAGAGACGAUGAGGUAGAUAGGGCAGAGAUGGAAGCACAGCGAUGUGUGGAGUUGACUGUUACUAAUCGGUCGAAAGCUUAAAAAA
rnacentral:rRNA from 1 species